rnacentral:rRNA from 1 species
UACGGAGGGUGCAAGCGUUGUCCGGAAUUAUUGGGCGUAAAGGGCUCGUAGGCGGUUUGUCGCGUCGGGAGUGAAAACUCAGGGCUUAACCCUGAGCCUGCUUCCGAUACGGGCAGACUAGAGGUAUGCAGGGGAGAACGGAAUUCCUGGUGUAGCGGUGAAAUGCGCAGAUAUCAGGAGGAACACCGGUGGCGAAGGCGGUUCUCUGGGCAUUACCUGACGCUGAGGAGCGAAAGUGUGGGGAGCAAACAGG